UACGUAGGGUGCGAGCGUUGUCCGGAAUUAUUGGGCGUAAAGAGCUUGUAGGCGGUUUGUCGCGUCUGCUGUGAAAUUUCGGGGCUCAACCCCGAACUUGCAGUGGGUACGGGCAGGCUAGAGUGUGGUAGGGGAGACUGGAAUUCCUGGUGUAGCGGUGAAAUGCGCAGAUAUCAGGAGGAACACCGAUGGCGAAGGCAGGUCUCUGGGCCACUACUGACGCUGAGAAGCGAAAGCAUGGGGAGCGAACAGG
rnacentral:rRNA from 1 species